UCAACAACGGAUCUCUUGGUUCUGGCAUCGAUGAAGAACGCAGCGAAAUGCGAUAAGUAAUGUGAAUUGCAGAAUUCAGUGAAUCAUCGAAUCUUUGAACGCACAUUGCGCCCUCUGGUAUUCCGGAGGGCAUGCCUGUUCGAGCGUCAUU
rnacentral:rRNA from 1 species